UUUUUUUUCUUAGUGAGUCUAGCUAAUGAUUUGGCAUUUUUGUUUAUCUUUUGAAAGAAUGAGCUUUCAGUUUCAUUGAUCUAUUCUAUUGCCUUUUAGGUGUCUGUUUUACUUAUUUCUCUCAGAUUUUUAUUAUUCUUUUUCUUCUACUGAUAUUGGGAUUUGUUUGUUCUUCUUAUCCCUUCAGGUGUAAGAUUACAUUGUUAUUUGAGACUUUUCUUGCUUCUUGAGAUAGGCCUGUAUUGCUAUAAACUUCCUUUUUAGUACCAGCUUUGUUGAAUCCCAUAGAUUUGGGCAUGUCUUAUUUUCAUUUCAUAUUUAGUAUAUUUAAUUUCUCC